rnacentral:rRNA from 1 species
AUUGAACGCUGGCGGCAGGCUUAACACAUGCAAGUCGAGCGGAAACGAUGAUAGCUUGCUAUCAGGCGUCGAGCGGCGGACGGGUGAGUAAUACUUAGGAAUCUACCUAGUAGUGGGGGAUAGCACGGGGAAACUCGUAUUAAUACCGCAUACGACCUACGGGAGAAAGGGGGCAGUUUACUGCUCUCGCUAUUAGAUGAGCCUAAGUCGGAUUAGCUAGAUGGUGGGGUAAAGGCCUACCAUGGCGACGAUCUGUAGCUGGUCUGAGAGGAUGAUCAGCCACACCGGGACUGAGACACGGCCCGGACUCCUACGGGAGGCAGCAGUGGGGAAUAUUGGACAAUGGGGGAAACCCUGAUCCAGCCAUGCCGCGUGUGUGAAGAAGGCCUUUUGGUUGUAAAGCACUUUAAGCAGUGAAGAAGACUCCAUGGUUAAUACCCAUGGACGAUGACAUUAGCUGCAGAAUAAGCACCGGCUAACUCUGUGCCAGCAGCCGCGGUAAUACAGAGGGUGCAAGCGUUAAUCGGAAUUACUGGGCGUAAAGGGAGCGUAGGUGGCUCUAUAAGUCAGAUGUGAAAUCCCCGGGCUUAACCUGGGAACUGCAUCUGAAACUGUAGAGCUAGAGUAUGUGAGAGGAAGGUAGAAUUCCAGGUGUAGCGGUGAAAUGCGUAGAGAUCUGGAGGAAUACCGAUGGCGAAGGCAGCCUUCUGGCAUAAUACUGACACUGAGGCUCGAAAGCGUGGGUAACAAACAGG